AGACGAGGAGGAACAAUAAGAGUGUGUGAAGUGAACACUCCCAGGCAGCAUUGGACGCAUACAAAGUGAGGCUCACCAGUCAAAUUGCAGAGCAGAUAACUACUGUACGUGUGUGACAUCAACAAAAACCACUAAAGAAGAGAACAAGCCUGAGGAGCAGAAGCUGGAAAAAAACCAAAUUUCAAAGGGAGGACAACAACGGAGCAGCGAAUGAGAUUUGUUUGAGUUUCAUCUUACUUUUCUUCGACUCCUCAUGCAGACCAUCAUCUAUAUCUGAGACAUUAUCCCUCCUAACCCUAAUCUCAACCUGUCUGCUAAUCGCAGGCAGCGUGUGAAGGCUCCUCUGGAUGAUUUAGUGCACUCAGACGCUCUGCAGGCAAACUCCUGCAACGCUCAUCACUGUCUCCUCCGCAUCAACUGGUCUGCUCACUUCUGUUUUGUCAUUUCUGACACUUAAGUCUGGGCUUGGCUGAGUGAGUGAAAACAACAAGGGCUCUCGCAGGAUGGAUGCUGGAGAACAGACGCUGACCCUUCUGAACAGGGUAUGGGUAAAGUUGCAGAAUCUGCCCAGCGCCAACAGUAUAGAUGUGGGGGCUUUCCUCGUCCUGCUAACAUUCAUCUUGGUGGUGGUGGUCAUGUCAGUGGUGACCUGCUUGACCUGCUGCUGUUGUUGCCGCUGCUGCAAGACCAAGAUGAAGGGACCGAAUAUCUGAACAAAUGUGCUCAACGCGAGGAGGAUUAUUCAAAUGUGCAGCUUCCGACAUCAAGCAUCUAAGCACAAACAAAAGAGUUGCAAGUGUUUUUCUGCAGCUCUCUCAAGUGCCAUUGCCAUGUUAUUCAUAGGCAGACAUUCAAGAUCUCUGCGGAGGUUCAGACAGGGUGUGUCCAGCUGCACCAAAGAAGCCAAACCCUUGAACAAUAAACUGAACUGACGGGCACAGAGAGGGGUGUCCUGACUGGCUGCCAGAAACACCUGCCAAAGGUGCCAGGUUUUCAGAAGAAUCCACUCUCUACAGGGCAACAACUCCCCUGACGUUGGGAAAAGGCAGGGCCACACUCAAAAUGCAACUUUAAAUCAUGAAGGCAAAAUACAUGGAAUUUGAGCAGUGAAAAUAACUAAAUAAAAUAAAUAGAAAUUGAAAUAAACUGCAGGACAUCAACAAUAACAGUAAGAUAUGAUGGGGGAAGAUAAAUUGCUUUGUUUGUGAGACAUUGUUGAGGAGUGGGACAAGAUUCUCCUGAACUGAAGCUGUUUCAUAACUGGGACUCGAAGAGAGAUCAAGUCCGCCCUCUGCUGUACGCAAACUGACAUAGCAUGUAUAUGAUUAAAGUUGUAUUACGCAUGACGUACUUAAGCAAAGGGAAAAUGGAUUAUGUAACGAAGUGAGGCUUUGACUUAACACUUAUUGUACUGCCCACUUUGAUUUGUAAAUAAUAAACAAAAAGUGAGAGGGAA